GAACGCCCCGCAAGGGGAGUGGCGCACGGGUGAGUAACGCGUGGGAACCUGCCCUGGAGUGGGGGAUAACCCGGCGAAAGCCGGGCUAAUACCGCAUACGACCUGAGGGUGAAAGAUUUAUCGCUCUAGGAGGGGCCCGCGUCGGAUUAGCUAGUUGGUGAGGUAACGGCUCACCAAGGCGACGAUCCGUAGCUGGUCUGAGAGGAUGAUCAGCCACACUGGGACUGAGACACGGCCCAGACUCCUACGGGAGACAGCAGUGGGGAAUAUUGGACAAUGGGGGCAACCCUGAUCCAGCAAUGCCGCGUGAGUGAUGAAGGCCUUAGGGUUGUAAAGCUCUUUCGCCCACGACGAUGAUGACGGUAGUGGGAGAAGAAGCCCCGGCUAACUUCGUG
rnacentral:rRNA from 1 species